rnacentral:rRNA from 1 species
GAUGAACGCUGGCGGCGUGCCUAAUACAUGCAAGUCGAGCGAACGGACGAGAAGCUUGCUUCUCUGAUGUUAGCGGCGGACGGGUGAGUAACACGUGGAUAACCUACCUAUAAGACUGGGAUAACUUCGGGAAACCGUAGCUAAUACCGGAUAAUAUUUUGAACCGCAUGGUUCAAAAGUGAAAGACGGUCUUGCUGUCACUUAUGGAUGGAUCCGCGCUGCAUUAGCUAGUUGGUAAGGUAACGGCUUACCAAGGCAACGAUGCAUAGCCGACCUGAGAGGGUGAUCGGCCACACUGGAACUGAGACACGGUCCAGACUCCUACGGGAGGCAGCAGUAGGGAAUCUUCCGCAAUGGGCGAAAGCCUGACGGAGCAACGCCGCGUGAGUGAUGAAGGUCUUCGGAUCGUAAAACUCUGUUAUUAGGGAAGAACAUAUGUGUAAGUAACUGCGCACAUCUUGACGGUACCUAAUCAGAAAGCCACGGCUAACUACGUG